AACAAGUGAAAGGCUGGAAAAGUAAAUAAAACAUGGCAGAUUCUGUCAUUUCUAUUUGGAUGGAGUUUCAACAUGUGGUAUCUUCAUCAAACAUUUAGUGACUGACAUAACAAAUAAAGAAAAUGUGAUGGAAGCUGUAAGAAAACCGAAGGUGUAUGAAAGCUUUGAAGCUCUGCAGCAGAGCUGCACAACCGAUUGUGGAAUCUGCUCUGCUAAAGCAAUGGCAAAAUUGUGAUAACUGUUCUGUGUCCUUGGGUUUUCACAGUCCUGCUGGACUAUGUGGCAGUCUGGCAGAAUAGGAUUUGUUCUCACUUGCUGAGGUAACUGCUUUAACUCCUUUCCACUAACACUCUUAUCGUUUUCUGAGAGACUCUGUUGCUUGAUGCAGCAUUAGCUUUGCUAAGGCAAAUCUGCCAAGAAAGUAC
rnacentral:lncRNA from 1 species